UAAUAAUUUCACUUAUAAAAUGAUAAAAAAAAUAUUUUAUUUAUGAAAUGCAAAGGAGAAAAAAUAUGGCUAAAAUUUUCAUCUUUGUUUAUGCUUUGAUCAUUUUUCUUUCUCAAUUUCUUGUUAUAACAAGUAGAACUUCAGUUCCUUGCAAUUCAGAUAGUGAUUGUCCAGAGACGACAUUACGUAAACUUUGGAAGUGUGUUGAUGGUUUUUGUGAUGUAACGGUUAAAGAAAUCACUAAAUCGUGUUUCAUAUGUCCAAAAGAUGUCAUUUCAAUGAUAAGAGAUUGAUACUUUAACUUCAAAGAACAUGGUUCAAAUACCAACUGAGGAGUUUUAUUUUUACUCUAACCCACAGAGUUGUAAAAUGGGCAUUAAUUCCACCAUUAUUAAUAAUAAUUUCUCCUUCCCUAUUUAAA